rnacentral:rRNA from 1 species
UGGGGAAUAUUGCACAAUGGGCGCAAGCCUGAUGCAGCCAUGCCGCGUGUAUGAAGAAGGCCUUCGGGUUGUAAAGUACUUUCAGUCGGGAGGAAGGUGGUAAGGUUAAUAACCUUAUCAAUUGACGUUACCGACAGAAGAAGCACCGGCUAACUCCGUGCCAGCAGCCGCGGUAAUACGGAGGGUGCAAGCGUUAAUCGGAAUUACUGGGCGUAAAGCGCACGCAGGCGGUUGAUUGAGUCAGAUGUGAAAUCCCCGGGCUUAACCCGGGAAUUGCAUCUGAUAAUGGGCAGCUAGAGUCUUGUAGAGGGGGGUAGAAUUCCAUGUGGAGCGGUGAAAUGCGUAGAGAUGUGGAGGAAUACCGGUGGCGAAGGCGGCCCCCUGGACAAAGACUGACGCUCAGGUGCGAAAGCGUGGGGAGCAAACAGG